rnacentral:rRNA from 1 species
ACUCAAAUGAAUUGACGGGGGCCCGCACAAGCGGUGGAGCAUGUGGUUUAAUUCGAUGCAACGCGAAGAACCUUACCAAGGCUUGACAUCCCUCCGACGUAUGUAGAGAUACAUAUUCCCUUCGGGGCGGAGGUGACAGGUGGUGCAUGGUUGUCGUCAGCUCGUGCCGUGAGGUGUUGGGUUAAGUCCCGCAACGAGCGCAACCCUUACUUUCAGUAGCCAGCGCGUUACGGCGGGCACUCUGGAGGGACUGCCGUGGAUAACACGGAGGAAGGCGGGGACGACGUCAAAUCAUCAUGCUCUUUAUGCCUUGGGCUACACACGUGCUACAAUGGCCGCCACAGAGCGACGCGAAGCAGCGAUGCGGAGCAAAGCGCUAAAAAGCGGCCCCAGUUCGGAUCGCAGGCUGCAACCCGCCUGCGUGAAGUUGGAAUCGCUAGUAAUCGCGGAUCAGCAUGCCGCGGUGAAUACGUUCCCGGGCCUUGUACACACCGCCCGU